rnacentral:rRNA from 1 species
UACAGAGGGGGCAAGCGUUACUCGGAAUUAUUGGGCGUAAAGGGCGCGUAGGCGAUUUAACAAGUCUUGUGUGAAAGCCCCGGGCUUAACUCGGGAAGUGCACAAGAAACUGUUGAAUUUGAGUUCCGGAGAGGAAGGCAGAAUUCCCGGUGUAGCGGUGAAAUGCGUAGAUAUCGGGAGGAAUACCAGUGGCGAAGGCGGCCUUCUGGACGGAUACUGACGCUGAGGCGCGAAAGCCAGGGGAGCAAACGGG